UAUUUCUAUGGCUUUGCUCGUACGGUAAAAUCCUGAUACAUAGUUACUUAUAUUACAUUAGUGGUCCCAGUCUGUCACAUAGCUCCAGAGAAAGUUUCACACCUGUUUCUCCAAUAUUAUAUCGUAAAAAAAUUUUGGUACCCACCCUUCCACAAUGAUCUCCCAGAUUGGCUUGUAUUUUUAUCCUUUGCUCUUUGGAACAUUUGGAUUAACCGCAACAAUAAUGUAUACAAGGGGAAAAGUAAGUUUCUUAACAUCUCUACCGUUCUCAGUAAAACCAAGGAAUUUUUUAACCAUACUCUUGCGCCUGGGAAUAAUCUUAGUAGUAUUAACAACAAUAUAAAAGGGUUUUCUCCGACACCUGCAACCUUUAAACUUAAUAUUGAUGGUUGUUUUUCUUCCACCUCAGCCUAUUGUGGUAUAGGGGGAGUUGUUCGUGACUUUAAGGGCAGUUGGGUCAUGGGAUUUUACAAUGAGAGUCAUGCCCACUGCCACGUUAUGGCUGAAUUGGAAGCUCUUCACAGAGAGUUGUUAAUGACCAGUAAUCACAAGCUCUAUCCUAUAGAAAUAAAAAUGGACUCUGUCGAAAUCAUACAUCUUUUGCAACAACCCACGCAUCCUUAUACUGAUCUUGUUACUUCUUGCAGGCAUAUAUUGAGGAACUUAGGGAGUUCAGCAGUGCAACAUAACUUUAGACAAGCCAAUGGAGUAGUUGAUCGACUAUCUCGCCUAGGUUCUCAACUAACAAUGACCAACUCUCAUGAUGUUUUGUCCUCUCCGCCUGAUGAAGUCAAAGCACAAAUUAAACUGGAUCGAGAUGGAGCUAUAUAUAGUUAUCUAGUUUCAUGGUCAACAUGUAAUAAGUUAGUUUGUUUAGGGAACCAAUCCAUAAUAUAUACUAUGCAUAGUUCUAACUUUAUUUUGUCCAACUCAACUAUGAGUUUGGAUUCUAGUAGUAACAUUUCAAUGCAGAACACUACCAGCAAUAGUUCAUAUACUGCUCCAUGUACUUACUAG
rnacentral:lncRNA from 1 species